CGGUAGCAGGAAGUGCUUGCACUUUGCUGACGAGUGGCGGACGGGUGAGUAAUGCUUGGGAACUUGCCUUUAGGUGGGGGAUAACAGUUGGAAACGACUGCUAAUACCGCAUAAUGUCUACGGACCAAAGGGGGCUUCGGCUCUCGCCUUGAGAGAGGCCCAAGUGAGAUUAGCUAGUUGGUGGGGUAAAGGCCUACCAAGGCAACGAUCUCUAGCUGUUCUGAGAGGAAGAUCAGCCACACUGGGACUGAGACACGGCCCAGACUCCUACGGGAGGCAGCAGUGGGGAAUAUUGCACAAUGGGGGAAACCCUGAUGCAGCCAUGCCGCGUGUGUGAAGAAGGCCUUCGGGUUGUAAAGCACUUUCAGUUGUGAGGAAAGGUUGGUAGUUAAUACCUGCCAGCUGUGACGUUAACAACAGAAGAAGCACCGGCUAACUCCGUGCCAGCAGCCGCGGUAAUACGGAGGGUGCGAGCGUUAAUCGGAAUUACUGGGCGUAAAGCGCACGCAGGCGGCUUGUUAAGCUAGAGGUGAAAGCCCCGCGCUCAACGUGGGAACUGCCUUUAGAACUGGCAGGCUAGAGUCUUGGAGAGGGGAGUGGAAUUCCAGGUGUAGCGGUGAAAUGCGUAGAUAUCUGGAGGAACAUCAGUGGCGAAGGCGGCUCCCUGGCCAAAGACUGACGCUCAUGUGCGAAAGUGUGGGUAGCGAACAGGAUUAGAUACCCUGGUAGUCCACACCGUAAACGCUGUCUACUAGCUGUUUGUGUAUUUAAUACGUGAGUAGCGAAGCUAACGCGCUAAGUAGACCGCCUGGGGAGUACGGCCGCAAGGUUAAAACUCAAAUGAAUUGACGGGGGCCCGCACAAGCGGUGGAGCAUGUGGUUUAAUUCGAUGCAACGCGAAGAACCUUACCUACUCUUGACAUCCAGGAAAUUUUUCAGAGAUGAAUUAGUGCCUUCGGGAAUCCUGA
rnacentral:rRNA from 1 species